rnacentral:rRNA from 1 species
GAUGAACGCUGGCGGCGUGCCUAAUACAUGCAAGUCGAGCGAACAGACGAGGAGCUUGCUCCUCUGACGUUAGCGGCGGACGGGUGAGUAACACGUGGAUAACCUACCUAUAAGACUGGGAUAACUUCGGGAAACCGGAGCUAAUACCGGAUAAUAUGUUGAAUCGCAUGGUUCAACAGUGAAAGACGGUCUUGCUGUCACUUAUAGAUGGAUCCGCGCCGCAUUAUCUAGUUGGUAAGGUAACGGCUUACCAAGGCAACGUUGCGUAGCCGACCUGAGAGGGUGAUCGGCCACACUGGAACUGAGACACGGUCCAGACUCCUACGGGAGGCAGCAGUAGGGAAUCUUCCGCAAUGGGCGAAAGCCUGACGGAGCAACGCCGCGUGAGUGAAGAAGGUCUUCGGAUCGUAAAACUCUGUUAUUAGGGAAGAACAAAUGUGUAAGUAACUAUGCACGUCUUGACGGUACCUAAUCAGAAAGCCACGGCUAACUACGUG